CCUACGGGUGGCAGCAGUCGAGAAUCAUUCACAAUGGGGGAAACCCUGAUGGUGCGACGCCGCGUGGGGGAAUGAAGGUCUUCGGAUUGUAAACCCCUGUCAUGUGGGAGCAAAUUAAAAAGAUAGUACCACAAGAGGAAGAGACGGCUACCGCUGUGCCAGCAGCCGCGGUAAUACAGAGGUCUCAAGCGUUGUUCGGAAUCACUUGGCGUAAGGCGUGCGUAGGCUGUUUCGUAAGUCGUGUGUGAAACGCGCGGUCUCAACCCGCGGACGGCACAUGAUACUGCGAGACUAGAGUAAUGGAGGGGGAACCGGAAUUCUCGGUGUAGCAGGGAAAUGCGUAGAUAGCGAGAGGAACACUCGUGGCGAAGGCGGGUUCCUGGACAUUAACUGACGCUGAGGCACGAAGGCCAGGGGAGCGAAAGGGAUUAGAUACCCUUGUAGUC
rnacentral:rRNA from 1 species